CCUGCCCGGUGCAUUUUGUAAACGGCCGCCCUAGCGUGAGGGUGCGAAGGUAGCGAAAUUCCUUGCCUUUUAAUUGUAGGCCUGCAUGAAUGGUUCGACGAGGGCUUAACUGUUUCUUAUCUUUUAUAGUGAAAUUGAAAUAAAGGUGAAGAUGCCUUUAUAAUGAAAUUAGACAAAAAGACCCCGUGCAACUUUUAAAGAUCAGUGAAUUAAGAAGCUGUGAAAUUUUUAGGUGGGGCGCCUAAUAAGUAAACUUAACCUUAUAAGCAAAUUAAACCCACUGGUUUAGACCCGACACAUUGUCGAUCGAAGGAGAAGUUACGCCGGGGAUAACAGGCUUAUCCAGUGGUAGAGCUCGUAUUGGCCACUGGGAUUGGCACCUCGAUGUUGAAUCAGGGAUGAUAGCUUUAAGGCGUAGAAGCUUUGAAAGUGGGUCUGUUCGACCUUUAAUACCCUACGUGAUCU
rnacentral:rRNA from 1 species